CCGACUAAUGACGCACUUCCGCCGGCGGGCUAUCCGAGCAGGGACGGUGCUGUGAAUUCACAACAAGCUCCCGUCGAGACCAAGAGCCGUGGCGGUAGCUUCUGGAGAGGAUGCUUCGCGGGCUGGUGUUGCUGCUGCUGUCUGGACAUGUGCUGCUGAGGAAAGUAGACGGAGAUCUAUAUUAUUAUUGUAUGAUGAUGGAAUUGCUGUUAUUGCCAAUUAUAUGUUGCAUGAGACAUUGUUUAUUUGAUUUAUUGGUUGUGGGAUUA